CACGUAGGGCGCAAGCGUUGUCCGGAAUUAUUGGGCGUAAAGAGCUCGUAGGCGGUCUGUUGCGUCCGCUGUGAAAACUCGGGGCUUAACCCCGAGCCUGCAGUGGAUACGGGGCAGACUAGAGGUAGGUAGGGGAGAAUGGAAUUCCCGGUGUAGCGGUGAAAUGCGCAGAUAUCGGGAGGAACACCGGUGGCGAAGGCGGUUCUCUGGGCCUUACCUGGACG
rnacentral:rRNA from 1 species